AAGAGGACUGACACACAUAAUGAGGACUGAAACCCAAUCCACCUGAGCCUUUCAUUAUCACCUCUAAAGGGGUUCUAUGUCCAGACCGGCCAACCUAGAGACCUUAAAUAAAGGGAGGAUUUCUAACCUGAAGCGGGGGGGUCUGAGUUGUGGUCGUUUGUUGCCGUUAACGGACUCCGUUUCUAACCGACCGUUAGCUACGGUUAAAUAAAGAAAAUAAAG